CCGGAUCUGUGGUGGGAGGAGGCACCGGAGCUUGGACAACGCGGCAGCCUGGGAGGAGGCGGCGCCGAGGAGCUCCGACCCAAGCGCGAGAGGAAGGGGAACGGGAGGGAGAGGGCACCGCCUGGGAGGCAGCAGCGCUGAGGAGCUCCGACCUAGCGCAAGACGGCGAGAUCGAGGAAGGGGAACGGAGGGAGAGGGCACCGAUGGAAAAAAGUCUUCUUUGAAUCGAGCGAGACGCACGACGCGAACUGUCAAACGAUCGUGGGCGAAAAGCUCGGGGGAACAGAGGAAGUGCGCAUCGCCGGCGGCCGGCCAUCUCCUGCGGUGAUCGUCUAGUCGAUUCAGUCUUCCAUUCCAGUCGGAGGGACGGCCUCCAGGUCUUGCGAAGCGGCUCUGCACGGUAGAUCUGUUCCAUUUGUGCAACGAUUCUGGUGAUAGUGGGGAAAAGGAUUUGGUUUUGCCGAUUGUUAUUGGGAUUUCGUGACCUGGUUGUGUAGGAAACUAUGAAAGAUGGGUUGUACGGGUAAUGGAUGUAAAAGAAGUACCUAGAAUUUAGUAAAAAUAUGUUUGAUUUUUGUAGAA